GAGAGGAUAGAAGAGCUCGCCGGUGUUCCAGUCCACUACAUUGGUGUCGGGCCUGGGAGGGAUGCUCUGAUAUACAAGUAAAGGGCAAACUCGAUUUGGUACUAUUGUAUCGGACGAAAUAAUUCAGUCUUAACUAGGCCGUUGUGAGCAUUGCUGUGUCAGCACACCCUUGAUUGCCAAUCGUAGCGGGUAAUACGAUCGACAAGCUACUGGCGGGCGGGGUGAUGUAAUACCUGCAAUAAUGAUUUCCGGGAAAUGUCCCGAUAUAUCACCAUAAGGAUGCAGUGUUAGAGUUUGGUGGUAACAUUUUGUCUUUCGACUCCACCAAUGGUUUGGUGGUAUUAUCACAAUUCACCGUCAUAUUUUGCGCUGAUUAUGAAUGCUGAAUGCUUUCUUGUGGGUAAGUCUGAUGUAAG
rnacentral:lncRNA from 1 species